UACGGGGGGGGCGAGCGUUGUUCGGAAUUACUGGGCGUAAAGGGCGCGUAGGCGGUCUGCUAAGUUGGAUGUGAAAACUCUGGGCUUAACCCAGAGCCUGCAUUCAAUACUGACAGGCUAGAGUUCUGGAGGGGAUAGCGGAAUUCCUGGUGUAGCGGUGAAAUGCGUAGAUAUCGAGAGGAACACCUGCGGCGAAGGCGGGUUGCUGGGCUGACACUGACGCUGAUGCGCAAAAGCCAGGGGAGCGAACGGG
rnacentral:rRNA from 1 species